AGUACAGACGAGUUUGAUCCUGGCUCAGAACGAACGCUGGCGGCAUGCCUAACACAUGCAAGUCGAACGAACCCUUCGGGGUUAGUGGCGCACGGGUGCGUAACGCGUGGGAAUCUGCCCUUUGCUUCGGAAUAACACAGAGAAAUUUGUGCUAAUACCGGAUAAUGUCGCAAGACCAAAGAUUUAUCGGCAAAGGAUGAGCCCGCGUAGGAUUAGCUAGUUGGUGGGGUAAUGGCCCACCAAGGCGACGAUCCUUAGCUGGUCUGAGAGGAUGAUCAGCCACACUGGGACUGAGACACGGCCCAGACUCCUACGGGAGGCAGCAAUGGGGAAUAUUGGACAAUGGGCGAAAGCCUGAUCCAGCAAUGCCGCGUGAGUGAUGAAGGCCUUAGGGUUGUAAAGCUCUUUUACCCGGGAUGAUAAUGACAGUACCGGGAGAAUAAGCUCCGGCUAACUCCGUG
rnacentral:rRNA from 1 species